UGGAUGAACGCUGGCGGCGUGCUUAACACAUGCAAGUCGAACGAAGAUAUUUAGAAUGAGAGCUUCGGCAGGAUUUUUAUCUAUCUUAGUGGCGGACGGGUGAGUAACGUGUGGGCAACCUGCCCUGUACUGGGGAAUAAUCAUUGGAAACGAUGACUAAUACCGCAUGUGGUCCUCGGAAGGCAUCUUCUGAGGAAGAAAGGAUUUAUUCGGUACAGGAUGGGCCCGCAUCUGAUUAGCUAGUUGGUGAGAUAACAGCCCACCAAGGCGACGAUCAGUAGCCGACCUGAGAGGGUGAUCGGCCACAUUGGGACUGAGACACGGCCCAAACUCCUACGGGAGGCAGCAGUGGGGAAUAUUGCACAAUGGGCGAAAGCCUGAUGCAGCAACGCCGCGUGAAGGAUGAAGGGUUUCGGCUCGUAAACUUCUAUCAAUAGGGAAGAAACAAAUGACGGUACCUAAAUAAGAAGCCCCGGCUAACUACGUGCCAGCAGCCGCGGUAAUACGUAGGGGGCAAGCGUUAUCCGGAAUUACUGGGUGUAAAGGGAGCGUAGGCGGCAUGGUAAGCCAGAUGUGAAAGCCUUGGGCUUAACCCGAGGAUUGCAUUUGGAACUAUCAAGCUAGAGUACAGGAGAGGAAAGCGGAAUUCCUAGUGUAGCGGUGAAAUGCGUAGAUAUUAGGAAGAACACCAGUGGCGAAGGCGGCUUUCUGGACUGAAACUGACGCUGAGGCUCGAAAGCGUGGGGGAGCAAACAGGAUUAGAUACCCUGGUAGUCCACGCCGUAAACGAUGAGUGCUAGGUGUCGGGGAGGAAUCCUCGGUGCCGCAGCUAACGCAAUAAGCACUCCACCUGGGGAGUACGACCGCAAGGUUGAAACUCAAAGGAAUUGACGGGGGCCCGCACAAGCGGUGGAGCAUGUGGUUUAAUUCGAAGCAACGCGAAGAACCUUACCAAGGCUUGACAUCCCGAUGACCGUCCUAGAGAUAGGACUUCUCUUCGGAGCAUCGGUGACAGGUGGUGCAUGGUUGUCGUCAGCUCGUGUCGUGAGAUGUUGGGUUAAGUCCCGCAACGAGCGCAACCCUUAUCUUCAGUAGCCAUCAUUCAGUUGGGCACUCUGGAGAGACUGCCGUGGAUAACACGGAGGAAGGUGGGGAUAACGUCAAAUCAUCAUGCCCCUUAUGUCUUGGGCUACACACGUGCUACAAUGGCUGGUAACAAAGUGAUGCGAGACGGCGACGUUAAGCAAAUCACAAAAACCCAGUCCCAGUUCGGAUUGUAGUCUGCAACUCGACUACAUGAAGCUGGAAUCGCUAGUAAUCGCGAAUCAGCAUGUCGCGGUGAAUACGUUCCCGGGCCUUGUACACACCGCCCGUCACACCAUGGGAGUUGGAAGCACCCGAAGUCGGUGACCUAACCGUAAGGAAGGAGCCGCCGAAGGUG
rnacentral:rRNA from 1 species